rnacentral:lncRNA from 10 species
CAAUGAGAUCAUUAGAAAUUAUCCAAUGCAAUGUCAGUUUUGGUAGAAACUUGAGAUUCAAGAAGCUCAACAAAUCCCAUAAAGGAAAAACACUAAAGGACCACACCUGGAAACAUUAUCGUGAAAGUGCUGACAGCUAAAGUCAAAAAGAAACUCUUGAAAGAAGCAAGAAAAAUCAGCUGUUUUCAGAAACAGUGAUCUCCAGAAGACGAUACAAUGGCAUAUUUAAAGUCCUGGAGGUGGGUUUAUGGAGGGAACUGACAACAAAGAAUACUAUAUACCACAAAAUUAGCUUUCAGAAAUGAAGGUGAAAUAAAGAUGU